UACGGAGGGAGCUAGCGUUGUUCGGAAUUACUGGGCGUAAAGCGCACGUAGGCGGCUUUGUAAGUUAGAGGUGAAAGCCUGGUGCUCAACCCCAGAACUGCCUUUAAGACUGCAUCGCUUGAAUCAUGGAGAGGCGGGUGGAAUUCCGAGUGUAGAGGUGAAAUUCGUAGAUAUUCGGAAGAACACCAGUGGCGAAGGCGGCCCGCUGGACAUGUAUUGACGCUGAGGUGCGAAAGCGUGGGGAGCAAACAGG
rnacentral:rRNA from 1 species